rnacentral:rRNA from 1 species
CGGAUCGCAGGCUGCAACCCGCCUGCGUGAAGUUGGAAUUGCUAGUAAUCGCGGAUCAGCAAGCCGCGGUGAAUACGUUCCCGGGCCUUGUACACACCGCCCGUCACACCAUGAGAGUCGGGAACACCCGAAGUCCGUAGUCUAACCGCAAGGNGGGCGCGGCCGAAGGUGGGUUCGAUAAUUGGGGUGAAGUCGUAACAAGGUAGC